rnacentral:rRNA from 1 species
UUCGGGUCGCCGGCGAGUGGCAAACGGGUGAGUAACGCGUGGAUACCUGUCCUGUGGUGGGGAAUAACGUUUAGAAAUGAACGCUAAUACCGCAUAAGCCCUGCGGGGGAAAGAUUUAUCGCCAUAGGAGGGGUCCGCGUCGGAUUAGCUAGUUGGUGGGGUAACGGCCUACCAAGGCGACGAUCCGUAGCUGGUCUGAGAGGAUGAUCAGCCACACUGGGACUGAGACACGGCCCAGACUCCUACGGGAGGCAGCAGUGGGGAAUAUUGCGCAAUGGAGGAAACUCUGACGCAGCGACGCCGCGUGGGUGAAGAAGGCCUUAGGGUUGUAAAGCCCUUUCAAUGGGAAAGAUGAUGACGGUACCCACAGAAGAAGCCCCGGCUAACUCCGUGCCAGCAGCCGCGGUAAUACGGAGGGGGCCAGCGUUGUUCGGAAUUACUGGGCGUAAAGGGCGCGUAGGCGGUUGAUCAAG